rnacentral:rRNA from 1 species
AGUGAACGCUGGCGGUAGGCCUAACACAUGCAAGUCGAACGGCAGCACAGUAAGAGCUUGCUCUUACGGGUGGCGAGUGGCGGACGGGUGAGGAAUACAUCGGAAUCUACUUUUUCGUGGGGGAUAACGUAGGGAAACUUACGCUAAUACCGCAUACGACCUACGGGUGAAAGCAGGGGAUCUUCGGACCUUGCGCGAUUGAAUGAGCCGAUGUCGGAUUAGCUAGUUGGCGGGGUAAAGGCCCACCAAGGCGACGAUCCGUAGCUGGUCUGAGAGGAUGAUCAGCCACACUGGAACUGAGACACGGGCCAGACUCCGACGGGAGGCAGCAGUGGGGAAUAUUGGACAAUGGGCGCAAGCCUGAUCCAGCCAUACCGGGUGGGUGAAGAAGGCCUUCGGGUUGUAAAGCCCUUUUGUUGGGAAAGAAAAGCAGCAGGUUAAGACCCCGCUGUUCUGAAGGUACCCAAAGAAUAAGCACCGGCUAACUUCGU